AAAUAAAAUAACAAUAGUUAUGAUUUUUAGUAGUUACAUUAUUUUAAAUUUUAAAAGUUUAUUUAUUGGCUUUUAAAUUAAUGAAUUAAUGGCGCUAUGUGGUUGAUUUUAUCAUGCAGGACAUAUCGUUGGGUGUUACUAUGGGAUCUGCAACUCAAAUUUCUAUGUUUGUGGUAAGGUUGAAUUAUUAGUAUUACUAUUAUAUACUAAUAUGAUCAUGCUUCGAAUAAAUUCUAUAAUGUUAGUUACCAGCAAAUUUUAAUGAUCUAAUGACUAAUGAAUUUUAGGUUCCAUUAAGUGUAUUUGUUGCAUGGAUAAUGGGUAUAAGAAUGGAUUCGGACUUCAAUCUUCUUGAAACUAGAUGUCUAUCUUUUACAAUUAUAAUUACAAUGUUCACUUUACAGGUAUGCACAAUGCCUUCUAUAUAAGCCAUCUUCUAUUUUUUUUUCUUUUAACCGUGUAGUUUGUUGUCUUUCCUUAUAGGAUGGAACUUCACGCUACAUGAAAGGAGUUACUCUCUGUUACAUUGUCAUUGGAGCAUGUUUUUUUGUUCUCAAAUCCUCUAAUUGAGGGCAAUCUCCUAAGGACAGUUUUGGAGCUAAACCAUCCUUUGAAGCCAUCACCACUUAAAUGAUUGUUUCCCCUACUAAUAUAAACAAUGUCAGCCAUGGAUAACUGAACCUCGUCUCAAGGAUCAAUUGCAGAGAUGGAUAUUUUUAUUCAUGGUGGAAUUUAUGUGCCUUUGACUGAGGCUUUGAAGAACAUCAUAAACUACAAAAAAAAAUAGAGAAUUCAAUGGUUUAUAUAAUUCUUUCUUCGUAAUAAAGCUUAACAAUGACGUUUUGGGUU